GGGCUGGUAGAUCAACGGUAGAUCGCUGCCCUCGCACGGCAGAGGCUUCGGGUUCAAAUCCCGGCCAGUCCA
rfam:Candidatus Altiarchaeum sp. CG2_30_32_3053 cg_3.0_sub100_scaffold_86_c, whole genome shotgun sequence.